ACAUACACACCCCCACUGAUUCCAGAAACACAAAAGGAGCUGACUCAAAAGGGAGUGUCUGGUGCAGGCAUGCAGGGAGGAAGAAAACAUGACUCUGAGCUUGACCAUUCAACUUUGAAACUUUAACAAUCAAUGGAUUAACACACACGAGUGUACGGUCUGCUGUGCAUUCAGCUCUGUGCUGCUAGGCAAAAGAAAUAUCAGAUCAGGAACUGACAGCCUCAGAGCAACAGGAAGAAAGGCUUAACAUAAGUGUUUCAUUCAAGCAGGCUGGCCUCGUGCUUAUUGAGUUGAACAUCACUGAGCACAAAAUGUCAGCCAGACACCUUAAGAGCUGUAAGGAUGAUAAAAACCUCUUUCUACCCUUGCAAGGUCUAAGUGUAGUGGUCAGGAGAGAAACAGACACAAAGAUUAUGCUGGCUGGAGGGAAAUGCUGGAAUGAAGGUGGAAGCAUUCUAUUCAUCUAAAAGCACUGGCAAUUAACAACGUGAAUAAAUGUAUAAUCCCUUUGUAGACAUCUCUUCACAAGGUCAUAAAGAAGGAAGACUGAAUGAAGGAUGCCAGGCUUUCAUUUUAGAAUUAAUUUUGUCAUCGAAUGCACUCACUGCAUUAUUUGACAGAACACUUUUUGCAUUUGAAGGAGUACAUUUGCCUUCCACCAUCUCAUUAACACUGCUUUCAACAGAAUCAGAAAUAACAGAAAUCACUGCAGGGUACUUUUGAAUGCUCAUCUGACUCUGCAGUGACAUCAAGUGGCUAGUUGAGGAACGAUCAUAUGCUGUGUGAGAACUCCGUGUUAACAAUUUCACGGAGCCACAUUAGACACCACAUUUGGCACUUUCAUCUGUUUAGAUUUCAGAGAGUUAAAAGGUAAGAGUCACCAACCUGCCUUUGAUAGUACCUUUUAAAUAGAUACCCAUUCCCACCAUAAGAAACCAGCGUUCCUUAGAGAAAUGACUAAUUCCAGCUCUAAGGCAAGAAAUGCUAAGAUAUGCUCAAAACAUCUCAUUAUACCAGAAAGCCAGGGAGCUAACAAAGACUAUGGGAGCUGUGUCAAAAGGACCAAGAAACCAACUUGAAGAGGCUCCCACCGGCCAACGGUGGGGCAAUUAGAGCAUCAAUAAGAAUAGUAACUCCAACAAACUGAAACAUAUCAAAUGUGUUUAAAUUCAUACAUUUAUAAUUACACUCAAGAAAACAAAGAUGCAGACCACCUCACCUUUGGAAGAUGUUAUAGAAUGAAAUUAUCAUUCUGAAAACUGGUAAAGAAAGAGAAGGUAUUGAGCAAGCAUGUAUCUUACUUUUUCUAUACGAAAUAAGGGAAGCCAAAUAGUAAACGAGAGGAAGUUUUCUCUUCACCGAGUAUUUCAGGUAACAAAAGAGGGAAUAUUAUCGUUUUAUGACCUCUAAUGGAACAAGGCAUCUAGGCAAUGAUGAUCAACGGUGACCAACAUCACUCAAUCAGGGGCAAUCAGACACUGUGGACCCCUGAAGGAAGUAAAUACCACUAUCUAGGAAAUAUUCUUGCCAAAACUUCAAAAACUUCAAUCUGAUCAAGGCUUUAGUUCCAACUACUAAUUUAUGGGCAAUAUGGGGGUCAGGGGGACCUGGUAGAAUGGCAUGGAAAUGCAAUCAGCAAAAUCUAGACUACAGGGAAUAAAAGGACAACUGAUCCAUAGAUGGCAAGGAAUAAUGUAAAGGUGUGCUGGUAAAGAAAUUCACAGAAUAAUAAAAGCUUAAAAAUGUAC